rnacentral:rRNA from 1 species
GAUGAACGCUGGCGGCGUGCUUAACACAUGCAAGUCGAACGAAGCACUUUAUUUGAUUUCCUUCGGGACUGAUUAUUUUGUGACUGAGUGGCGGACGGGCGAGUAACGCGUGGGUAACCUGCCUUGUACAGGGGGAUAACAGUUGGAAACGGCUGCUAAUACCGCAUAAGCGCACAGCAUCGCAUGAUGCAGUGUGAAAAACUCCGGUGGUAUAAGAUGGACCCGCGUUGGAUUAGCUAGUUGGUGAGGUAACGGCCCACCAAGGCAACGAUCCAUAGCCGACCUGAGAGGGUGACCGGCCACAUUGGGACUGAGACACGGCCCAAACUCCUACGGGAGGCAGCAGUGGGGAAUAUUGCACAAUGGGCGAAAGCCUGAUGCAGCGACGCCGCGUGAGCGAAGAAGUAUUUCGGUAUGUAAAGCUCUAUCAGCAGGGAAGAUAAUGACGGUAC